AACUUUUACUGUUCCUUUCAUUUAUAUAUAUAUUUUCCUUUUAAUGGGUGAAGUAGGCAUGAAUUUCAAUUACUUGGGCACUUUUAUUAAUGUGGUGGAAAAAGAUAUCUUCUUUGAUCAUAUCUCUCUCUCAAUCUAUGGAAAGAAUUAGAAUAUUCAUCCUUCUCUUUUUUUUCCCCCUGGAAUUCUAAAGGUAUUUAAAAGUAAAAAAAAAAUAAAAA
rnacentral:misc_RNA from 1 species